GCAAGUCGAGCGAACAGACGAGGAGCUUGCUCCUCUGACGUUAGCGGCGGACGGGUGAGUAACACGUGGAUAACCUACCUAUAAGACUGGGAUAACUUCGGGAAACCGGAGCUAAUACCGGAUAAUAUAUUGAACCGCAUGGUUCAAUAGUGAAAGACGGUUUUGCUGUCACUUAUAGAUGGAUCCGCGCCGCAUUAGCUAGUUGGUAAGGUAACGGCUUACCAAGGCAACGAUGCGUAGCCGACCUGAGAGGGUGAUCGGCCACACUGGAACUGAGACACGGUCCAGACUCCUACGGGAGGCAGCAGUAGGGAAUCUUCCGCAAUGGGCGAAAGCCUGACGGAGCAACGCCGCGUGAGUGAUGAAGGUCUUCGGAUCGUAAAACUCUGUUAUUAGGGAAGAACAAAUGUGUAAGUAACUAUGCACGUCUUGACGGUACCUAAUCAGAAAGCCACGGCUAACUACGUGCCAGCAGCCGCGGUAAUACGUAGGUGGCAAGCGUUAUCCGGAAUUAUUGGGCGUAAAGCGCGCGUAGGCGGUUUUUUAAGUCUGAUGUGAAAGCCCACGGCUCAACCGUGGAGGGUCAUUGGAAACUGGAAAACUUGAGUGCAGAAGAGGAAAGUGGAAUUCCAUGUGUAGCGGUGAAAUGCGCAGAGAUAUGGAGGAACACCAGUGGCGAAGGCGACUUUCUGGUCUGUAAC
rnacentral:rRNA from 1 species